rnacentral:tRNA from 29 species
CCGGAAUAGCUCAGUUGGUAGAGCAGAGGACUGAAAAUC